rnacentral:lncRNA from 1 species
ACACUGAGAUAGGCUUCUUGGCCUGGGCAUGGAGCCAAGGGGCUCCUCGUCUCGGUGAUCCUGCUUGUCCCUAGCCUUCUCCUGCCUGUCAACUUCCUCAUCAUCUCUCUCAGCCAUGCACAUCUAGGUUGUACCCCCCCAAAACGGAGAGCAGGGCAGGCCAGGAGAAGCAAUGUCUGAGGAGCAGGAGAGGACGUUCUGGAGGAAGGAAAUGCUCUAGAGCU